rnacentral:rRNA from 1 species
ACGCUCGACACCUACGGAGGCAGCAGUGGGGAAUAUUGCACAAUGGGGGAAACCCUGAUGCAGCGACGCCGCGUGGAGGAAGAAGGUCUUCGGAUUGUAAACUCCUGUUGUUGGGGAAAAAGAGGAUGGUACCCAACAAGGAAGUGACGGCUAACUACGUGCANNCGCGAGUAUNGCGGCGNGCGAGAG